rnacentral:rRNA from 1 species
UCGGGAAUUUUGGGCAAUGGGCGAAAGCCUGACCCAGCAACGCCGCGUGAAGGAUGAAGUAUUUCGGUAUGUAAACUUCGAAAGAAUAGGAAGAAUAAAUGACGGUACUAUUUAUAAGGUCCGGCUAACUACGUGCCAGCAGCCGCGGUAAUACGUAGGGACCAAGCGUUGUUCGGAUUUACUGGGCGUAAAGGGCGCGUAGGCGGCAAUUCAAGUCAUCUGUGAAAUCUCCGGGCUUAACUCGGAACGGUCAGAUGAUACUGCUUUGCUAGAGUGCAGAAGGGGCAAUCGGAAUUCUUGGUGUAGCGGUGAAAUGCGUAGAUAUCAAGAGGAACACCUGAGGUGAAGACGGGUUGCUGGGCUGACACUGACGCUGAGGCGCGAAAGCUAGGGGAGCAAACGGGAUUAGAUACCCAAGUAGUCCCUGAGCGGGCUGGCAAGGCGCAU